UGCCAGACUCCUACGGGAGGCAGCAGUGAGGAAUAUUGGUCAAUGGGCGGGAGCCUGAACCAGCCAAGUCGCGUGAAGGAAGAAGGUACUUAGUAUUGUAAACUUCUUUUGUCGGGGAACAAAGGCGGAGACGCGUCUCCGGAUGAGUGUGCCCGAAGAAAAAGCAUCGGCUAACUCCGUGCCAGCAGCCGCGGUAAUACGGAGGAUCCGAGCGUUAUCCGGAUUUAUUGGGUUUAAAGGGAGCGUAGAUGGGUUGUUAAGUCAGUUGUGAAAGUUUGCGGCUCAACCGUAAAAUUGCAAUUGAUACUGGCAGUCUUGAGUACAGUUGAGGUAGGCGGAAUUCGUGGUGUAGCGGUGAAAUGCUUAGAUAUCACGAAGAACUCCGAUUGCGAAGGCAGCUUACUAAACUGCCACUGACAUUGAUGCUCGAAAGUGUGGGUAUCAAACAGGAUUAGAUACCCGAGUAC
rnacentral:rRNA from 1 species